rnacentral:rRNA from 1 species
GAAUUUUGGACAAUGGGCGCAAGCCUGAUCCAGCCAUGCCGCGUGCAGGAUGAAGGCCUUCGGGUUGUAAACUGCUUUUGUACGGAACGAAAAUGUGCCUUCUAAUAAAGGGCGCUCAUGACGGUACCGUAAGAAUAAGCACCGGCUAACUACGUGCCAGCAGCCGCGGUAAUACGAAGGGUGCAAGCGUUAUCCGGAUUCACUGGGUUUAAAGGGUGCGUAGGUGGGCAGGUAAGUCAGUGGUGAAAUCUCCGGGCUUAACCCGGGAACUGACGAUGAUACUAUUUGUCUUGAAUAUUGUGGAGGUAAGCGGAAUAUGUCAUGUCGAGGUGAAAUGCAUAGAUAGGACAUAGAACACCAAUUGCGAAGGCAGCUUACUACACAAUCAUUGACGUUGAGGCACGAAAGCGUGGGGAUCAAACA